rnacentral:rRNA from 1 species
CCUACGGGAGGCAGCAGUGAGGAAUAUUGGUCAAUGGGCGGAAGCCUGAACCAGCCAAGUAGCGUGCGGGAUGAAGGCCCUAUGGGUCGUAAACUGCUUUUGUACGGGGAUAACAUCCUCCACUUGUGGAGGUCUGCAGGUACCGUACGAAUAAGGGUCGGCUAACUCCGUGCCAGCAGCCGCGGUAAUACGGGGGGUCCGAGCGUUAUCCGGAUUUAUUGGGUUUAAGGGGAGCGUAGGCGGGCGGUAAAGUCAGUGGUAAAAUCUCGCGGCUCAACCGCGAACUGCAGUUGAAACUGGACGGCUUGAGUACAGGAGAGGUAGGCGGAAUGCGUGGUGUAGCGGUGAAAUGCAUAGAGAUCACGAAGAACCCCGAGUGCGAAGGCAGCCUACCGGGGUGCAACUGACGCUGAGGCUCGAAAGUGCGGGUAUCAAACAGGAUUAGAUACCCUAGUAGUC